CCGUAGGUGAACCUGCGGAGGGAUCAUUACAGAGUUCAUGCCCUACCGGGUAGAUCUCCCACCCUAUGUUAUUAUUACUUUGUUGCUUUGGCGGGCCGUUAGGCUCCGGCCCGACUACCGGCCCCGGCUGGUAAGCGCCCGCCAGAGGACCCAAAACCCUGAAUAUUAGUGUCGUCUGAGUACUAUAUAAUAGUUAAAACUUUCAACAACGGAUCUCUUGGUUCUG
rnacentral:misc_RNA from 1 species